UCCUGCCAGUAGUCAUAUGCUUGUCUCAAAGAUUAAGCCAUGCAUGUCUAAGUAUAAGCAAAUCUAUACUGUGAAACUGCGAACGGCUCAUUAAAUCAGUUAUAGUUUAUUUGAUGGUACCUUACUACAUGGAUAACUGUGGUAAUUCUAGAGCUAAUACAUGCCGAAAAGGCCCUUCACGGGGUUGUAUUUAUUAGAUUAAGGACCGUUGGGCUCUCGGGCCCAUUUGGUGAAUCAUAAUAACUGCUCGCAGCGUAUGGCCUUGCGCCGACGCGACUUCAUUCAAAUACCUGCCCUAUCAGCUUUUGAUGGUAGUGUAGUGGACUACCAUGGCUACAACGGGUAACGGGGAAUAAGGGUUCGAUUCCGGAGAGAGAGCCUGAGAAACGGCUCUCAUAACUAAGGUUAGCAGCAGGCGCGCAAAUUAUCCACUCUCAAUUCGAGGAGAUAGUGACAAUAAAUAACAAUAGAGGGCUCUUUUGGGUCUUCUAAUUGGAAUGAGAACAAUCUAAAUCCCUUAACGAGGAUCAAUUGGAGGGCAAGUCUGGUGCCAGCAGCCGCGGUAAUUCCAGCUCCAAUAGCGUAUAUUAAAAUUGUUGACGUUAAAAAGCUCGUAGUCGACUUUCGGCCUCAGCCAACCGGUCCGCUCACUGAGUGUGUACUGGAUUUGGUUGGGGCUUUACCUCCUGGUGAGCCGGCAUGGCCUUUAUUGGUUGUGUCGGGGAACCCGGAACUUUACUUUGAAUAAAUCAGAGUGUUCAAAGCAGGCAUGUUUGCCCGAAUGUUACAGCAUGGAAUAAUAGAAUAGGAUGUGUGCCUCUAUUGGUCUUUAGAGGCACCUUAAUGAGAAAUAGGGGCGGCUCGGGGGCAUUUGUAUUCAAUUGCUAGAGGUGAAAUUCUUGGAUUUAUUGAAGACAAACUACUGCGAAAGCAUUUGCCAAGGACGCUUUCAUUGAUCAAGAACGAAGGUCGGGGGAUCGAAAACGAUUAGAUACCGUUGUAGUCUCGACAGUAAACUAUGCCAACCGGCGAUGGGUGGGGGCUUUCUUAAUGACCCCAUCUGCAGCCAAAGAGAAAUCUCGAGUGCGGUUCGUGGGGGAGUACGGUCACAAGGCUGAAACUUAAAGGAAUUGACGGAAGGGCACCACCAGGAGUGGAGCCUGCGGCUUAAUUUGAC
rnacentral:rRNA from 1 species